rnacentral:rRNA from 1 species
CUUGCCCUUCCUCUAGCCCGACUACUUGGAACCCUUGACUUUAAAAACCCAUUCCAUUACCUAAGUAAAACAUUCUAAUUUUCCUAGUAUAGGCGAUAGAAAAGAUUCUUCGGCGCAAUAGAGAUCGAUCGUACCGUAAGGGAAAGGUGAAAUAACAAUGAAAACAGCAAGCAUAGAACAGUAAAGACCAACCCUUGUACCUCUUGCAUCAUGAUUUAGCAAGAACAACCAAGCAAAGUGAACUAAAAGUUUGCCCCCCCGAAACCCAAGCGAGCUACCUGUAAGCAGCUAAACUGAGCGAACCCGUCUCUGUUGCAAAAGAGUGGGAUGACUUACUGGUAGAGGUGAGAAGCUAACCGAGCUGGGUGAUAGCUGGUUACCUGCUAAAUGAAUUUAAGUUCCCCCUUAACUCAUUCCCCAAGGACACCUACCUGAUCCCAUCCGUGUAAGAGUUAAGAGUAAUUCGAUGGGGGUACAGCCCCUUCGAAAAAGAACACAACCUCCUCCAGCGGAUAAUCCAUUUUUCUCCCUCCCCCAUCGUAGGCCCUAAAGCAGCCAUCAACAAAAGAGUGCGUCAAAGCUCCCCAUAAAAAAAUCUAUACCCCCAUCUGAUUCCCUAACCCCAAGCAGGUUAACCUAUGACAAUAGAAGAAUCAAUGCUAAAAUGAGUAACUUGGAGCCCUCCUCAUCGGCGUAAACUUACAUUAACAUAUUAUUAACAGAACAACUUAUAUCCCCACUUCAACAAGAAUAUAUAUUUAAUCUAAUCUGUUACCCCAACUCAGGAGCGCCAAUAUUAGACGAUUAAAACCUGCAAAAGGAACUCGGCAAACCAAAGACCCGACUGUUUACCAAAAACAUAGCCUUCAGCCAACAACAAGUAUUGAAGGUGAUGCCUGCCCAGUGACCUAAAAGUUCAACGGCCGCGGUAUCCUAACCGUGCGAAGGUAGCGCAAUCAAUUGUCCCAUAAAUUGAGACUUGUAUGAAAGGCUAAACGAGGUCUUAACUGUCUCUUGCAGGUAAUCAGUGAAAUUAGUAUUCCCGUGCAAAAACGAGAAUGUGAUCAUAAGACGAGAAGACCCUGUGGAACUUAAAAAUAACGACCACUCCUUCACUAACACUAUCCACCGGACCCACCCCCAUAAGACACUUGGUCGACAUUUUUCGGUUGGGGCGACCUUGGAGAAAAAUAAAUCCUCCAAACCCAUAGACCACAACUCUUCACUAAGACCUACCCAUCAAAGUACUAACAGUAAUUUAGACCCGAUACAAUUGACCAAUGAACCAAGCUACCCCAGGGAUAACAGCGCAAUCUCCUCCAAGAGCCCAUAUCGACAAGGAGGUUUACGACCUCGAUGUUGGAUCAGGACAACCUAAUGGUGCAGCCGCUAUUAAGGGUUCGUUUGUUCAACGAUUAACAGUCCUACGUGAUCUGAGUUCAGACCGGAGCAAUCCAGGUCGGUUUCUAUCUAUGAACAGACUCCUCCUAGUACGAAAGGACCGGAGAAGUGGGGCCAAUGUCAUAAGACACACCCCAGUCUUACAAGCAAUGAAUGCAACUCAAUUGCCAAAAAGCCUAUAAUACACACCCAAUUCCUAGAAAAGGAACA